rnacentral:rRNA from 1 species
CAGGCCUAACACAUGCAAGUCGAGCGGCAGCGCGAGAAGUUUACUACUUGGCGGCGAGCGGCGGACGGCUGAGUAACGCGUGGGAACGUGCCCCAAAGUGAGGGAUAAGCAUCGGAAACGGUGUCUAAUACCGCAUAUGAUCUUCGGAUUAAAGCUUUAUGCGCUUUGGGAGCGGCCCGCGUCUGAUUAGAUAGUUGGUGAGGUAAAGGCUCACCAAGUCGACGAUCAGUAGCUGGUCUGAGAGGAUGAUCAGCCAGACUGGAACUGAGACACGGUCCAGACUCCUACGGGAGGCAGCAGUAAGGAAUCUUCCACAAUGGGGGAAACCCUGAUGGAGCAACGCCGCGUGCAGGAUGAAGGCCUUCGUGUCGUAAACUGCUUUUAUAAGUGAAGAAUAUGACUGUAACUUAUGAAUAAGGAU